rnacentral:rRNA from 1 species
UCCUUUGGGUUUUAUAAAAGGUCAGACCUGCCCUAUGAUUAUUUAAAUGGCCGCGGUAUCCUGACCGUGCAAAGGUAGCAUAAUAGUUUGUCUUUUAAUUGAGGACUAGCAUGAAUGGUCAUACGAGAUAUUGACUUUCUUUAUUUUAUUAUAAUGAAAUUUAUUUUUUUGUGAAAAAGCUAAAAUAUAUUUAUUAGACGAUAAGACCCUAUAAAACUUUAUUACACUUUAGAAAUAAAUUUUGUAGAUUUUAUUUAUUUUAUUUUUAAAUUGAAAUUUUGUUGGGGAGACAGGUAAAUUUAAAUAGCUUUAUUAAUUUAUUUCAUUAAUUUAUGUAAGUUUUGAUCCGGUAUUUCCGAUUAGCAGAUUAAGUUACUUUA